GGGUGAGUAACACGUAUCCACCUGCCGCUUACUCGGGGAUAGCCUUUCGAAAGAAAGAUUAAUACCCGAUGGUAUAAAGAGUUCGCAUGUUCUCUUUAUUAAAGAAUUUCGGUAAGCGAUGGGGAUGCGUUCCAUUAGAUAGUUGGCGGGGUAACGGCCCACCAAGUCUACGAUGGAUAGGGGUUCUGAGAGGAAGGUCCCCCACAUUGGAACUGAGACACGGUCCAAACUCCUACGGGAGGCAGCAGUGAGGAAUAUUGGUCAAUGGACGAGAGUCUGAACCAGCCAAGUAGCGUGAAGGAUGACUGCCCUAUGGGUUGUAAACUUCUUUUAUAAGGGAAUAAAGUGAGGGACGUGUCCCUUUUUGUAUGUACCUUAUGAAUAAGGAUCGGCUAACUCCGUGCCAGCAGCCGCGGUAAUACGGAGGAUCCAAGCGUUAUCCGGAUUUAUUGGGUUUAAAGGGAGCGUAGGUUGACAUAUAAGUCAGCUGUGAAAGUUUACGGCUCAACCGUGAAAUUGCAGUUGAUACUGUAUGUCUUGAGUGUACAAGAGGUGGGCGGAAUUCGUGGUGUAGCGGUGAAAUGCUUAGAUAUCACGAAGAACUCCAAUUGCGAAGGCAGCUCACUGGGGUACAACUGACACUGAGGCUCGAAAGUGUGGGUAUCAAACAGGAUUAGAUACCCUGGUAGUCCACACAGUAAACGAUGAAUACUCGCUGUUUGCGAUAUACAGUAAGCGGCCAAGCGAAAGCAUUAAGUAUUC
rnacentral:rRNA from 1 species